rnacentral:rRNA from 1 species
CCAGCUCCAAUAGCGUAUAUUAAAGUUGUUGCAGUUAAAAAGCUCGUAGUUGGAUUUUGGGUUGUGUUUACUGGUCGGCCGCAAGGCCUGUACUGGUAUGGCACUUCCUUCUUCUCGAAGGCUGUACGUGCUCUUAACUGAGUGUGUGCAGAGUUCGGGACUUUUACUGUGAGAAAAUUAGAGUGUUCAAAGCAGGCUUAUGCUUGAAUAUUACAGCAUGGAAUAAUGGAAUAGGAUCACGAUCUUAUUUUGUUGGUUUCUAAGGUCGAGAUAAUGAUUAAUAGGGAUAGUUGGGGGCAUUGAUAUUUAAUUGUCAGAGGUGAAAUUCUUGGAUUUAUGAAAGAUUAACUUCUGCGAAAGCAUUUGCCAAGGAUGUUUUCG